AAAUUGAAGAGUUUGAUCAUGGCUCAGAUUGAACGCUGGCGGCAGGCCUAACACAUGCAAGUCGAGCGGUAGCACAGAGAGCUUGCUCUCGGGUGACGAGCGGCGGACGGGUGAGUAAUGUCUGGGAAACUGCCUGAUGGAGGGGGAUAACUACUGGAAACGGUAGCUAAUACCGCAUAACGUCGCAAGACCAAAGUGGGGGACCUUCGGGCCUCAUGCCAUCAGAUGUGCCCAGAUGGGAUUAGCUAGUAGGUGGGGUAAUGGCUCACCUAGGCGACGAUCCCUAGCUGGUCUGAGAGGAUGACCAGCCACACUGGAACUGAGACACGGUCCAGACUCCUACGGGAGGCAGCAGUGGGGAAUAUUGCACAAUGGGCGCAAGCCUGAUGCAGCCAUGCCGCGUGUGUGAAGAAGGCCUUCGGGUUGUAAAGCACUUUCAGCGGGGAGGAAGGCGGUGAGGUUAAUAACCUCAUCGAUUGACGUUACCCGCAGAAGAAGCACCGGCUAACUCCGUGCCAGCAGCCGCGGUAAUACGGAGGGUGCAAGCGUUAAUCGGAAUUACUGGGCGUAAAGCGCACGCAGGCGGUCUGUCAAGUCGGAUGUGAAAUCCCCGGGCUCAACCUGGGAACUGCAUUCGAAACUGGCAGGCUAGAGUCUUGUAGAGGGGGUAGAAUUCCAGGUGUAGCGGUGAAAUGCGUAGAGAUCUGGAGGAAUACCGGUGGCGAAGGCGGCCCCCUGGACAAAGACUGACGCUCAGGUGCGAAAGCGUGGGGAGCAAACAGGAUUAGAUACCCUGGUAGUCCACGCCGUAAACGAUGUCGAUUUGGAGGUUGUGCCCUUGAGGCGUGGCUUCCGGAGCUAACGCGUUAAAUCGACCGCCUGGGGAGUACGGCCGCAAGGUUAAAACUCAAAUGAAUUGACGGGGGCCCGCACAAGCGGUGGAGCAUGUGGUUUAAUUCGAUGCAACGCGAAGAACCUUACCUGGUCUUGACAUCCACAGAACUUAGCAGAGAUGCUUUGGUGCCUUCGGGAACUGUGAGACAGGUGCUGCAUGGCUGUCGUCAGCUCGUGUUGUGAAAUGUUGGGUUAAGUCCCGCAACGAGCGCAACCCUUAUCCUUUGUUGCCAGCGGUCCGGCCGGGAACUCAAAGGAGACUGCCAGUGAUAAACUGGAGGAAGGUGGGGAUGACGUCAAGUCAUCAUGGCCCUUACGACCAGGGCUACACACGUGCUACAAUGGCAUAUACAAAGAGAAGCGACCUCGCGAGAGCAAGCGGACCUCAUAAAGUAUGUCGUAGUCCGGAUUGGAGUCUGCAACUCGACUCCAUGAAGUCGGAAUCGCUAGUAAUCGUAGAUCAGAAUGCUACGGUGAAUACGUUCCCGGGCCUUGUACACACCGCCCGUCACACCAUGGGAGUGGGUUGCAAAAGAAGUAGGUAGCUUAACCUUCGGGAGGGCGCUUACCACUUUGUGAUUCAUGACUGGGGUGAAGUCGUAACAAGGUAACCGUAGGGGAACCUGCGGUUGGAUCACCUCCUUACCUUAAAGAA
rnacentral:rRNA from 1 species